CAGGAUUAGAUACCCUGGUAGUCCAUGCCGUAAACGUUGGGCACUAGGUGUGGGGCUCAUUCCACGAGUUCCGUGCCGCAGCUAACGCAUUAAGUGCCCCGCCUGGGGAGUACGGCCGCAAGGCUAAAACUCAAAGGAAUUGACGGGGGCCCGCACAAGCGGCGGAGCAUGCGGAUUAAUUCGAUGCAACGCGAAGAACCUUACCAAGGCUUGACAUGCACCGGACGCUGCCAGAGAUGGUGGUUCCGCAAGGUCGGUGCACAGGUGGUGCAUGGUUGUCGUCAGCUCGUGUCGUGAGAUGUUGGGUUAAGUCCCGCAACGAGCGCAACCCUCGUCCCAUGUUGCCAGCGGGUUAUGCCGGGGACUCAUGGGAGACUGCCGGGGUCAACUCGGAGGAAGGCGGGGAUGACGUCAAAUCAUCAUGCCCCUUAUGUCUUGGGCUUCACGCAUGCUACAAUGGCCGGUACAGAGGGCUGCGAUACCGUAAGGUGGAGCGAAUCCCAAAAAGCCGGUCUCAGUUCGGAUUGGGGUCUGCAACUCGACCCCAUGAAGUCGGAGUCGCUAGUAAUCG
rnacentral:rRNA from 1 species